GCACCCGUAGCUCAACUGGAUAGAGCAUCUGACUUCGGAUCAGAGGGUUGGGGGUUCGAAUCCUCUCGGGUGUG
rnacentral:tRNA from 1 species